rnacentral:lncRNA from 1 species
UAACUUAUUUCACUUGCAUCUGAUUCUACUAUAUAUGUAAAUAUUUUAUUUUCAUCUGGAAAAUAUAAUUUGGGUAAAUUCUUACAUAAUAGUUUUAUUUUUUGAAUCUGUUCUUGAUCUUUUUUGUCAAAAUAAUAUUCUACAUCUUUCUUUAGUUUUUUAUGCAAAAGGUUUUAGAUUUUCUGCCAAAUUGGGUAUAUAUUCUCUUACCUGGUUUACUAAUCCUA